GACGAACGCUGGCGGCGUGCUUAACACAUGCAAGUCGAACGGAAAGGCCCUGCUUUUGUGGGGUGCUCGAGUGGCGAACGGGUGAGUAACAAGUGAGUAACCUGCCCUUGACUUUGGGAUAACUUCAGGAAACUGGGGCUAAUAACGGAUAGGAGCUCCUGCUGAAUGGUGGGGGUUGGAAAGUUUCGGCGGUUGGGGAUGGACUCGCGGCUUAUCAGCUUGUUGGUGGGGUAGUGGCUUACCAAGGCUUUGACGGGUAGCCGGCCUGAGAGGGUGACCGGCCACAUUGGGACUGGGAUACGGCCCAGACUCCUACGGGAGGCAGCAGUGGGGAAUAUUGCACAAUGGGCGGAAGCCUGACGCAGCAACGCCGCGUGCGGGAUGACGGCCUUCGGGUUGUAAACCGCUUUCGCCUGUGACGAAGCGUGAGUGACGGUAAUGGGUAAAGAAGCACCGGCUAACUACGUG
rnacentral:rRNA from 1 species